CCUACGGGAGGCAGCAGUGGGGAAUAUUGGACAAUGGGGGGAACUCUGAUCCAGCGACGCCGCGUGAGUGAAGAAGGAUCUCGGGAUUUAAAGCUCUAUCAGCAUGGAAGUAAAUGACGGUACCUGACGAAGAAGCCCCGGCUCACUACGUGACAGCAGCCGCGGUAAUGCGGAGGGUGCAAGCGUUAUCCGGAUUUACUGGGUGUAAAGGGAGCGUAGACGGUGCAGCAAGUCUGAUGUGAAAGGGCGGGGCCCAACCCCGGAACUGCAGUGGAAACUGUUGAACUGGAGUACAGUAGAGGUGAGCGGAAUUCGUAGUGUAGCGGUGAAAUGCGUAGAUAUCAGGAGGAACACCAGUGGCGAAGGCGGCUUACUGGACUGUAACUGACGCUGAGGCUCGAAAGCGUGGGUAGCAAACAGGAUUAGAUACCCUGGUAGUC
rnacentral:rRNA from 1 species